UACGUAGGGGGCAAGCGUUGUCCGGAAUUAUUGGGCGUAAAGAGCGCGUAGGCGGUCCGAUAAGUCGGCUGUGAAAGUCAGGGGCUCAACCCUUGGAAGCCGGCCGAUACUGUCGGACUAGAGUCCGGAAGAGGCGAGUGGAAUUCCCGGUGUAGCGGUGAAAUGCGCAGAUAUCGAAGAGGAACACCAAUGGCGAAGGCAG
rnacentral:rRNA from 1 species